UAAUACGUAGGGGGCAAGCGUUGUCCGGAUUUACUGGGCGUAAAGAGCGCGUAGGCGGAACGUUAAGUCCGGUUUGAAAGCCCCCGGCUCAACCGGGGAGAGUGGCUGGAAACUGGCGUUCUUGAGGGCGGCAGAGGAGAGUGGAAUUCCUGGUGUAGCGGUGAAAUGCGUAGAUAUCAGGAGGAACACCCGUGGCGAAGGCGGCUCUCUGGGCCGACCCUGACGCUGAGGCGCGAAAGCGUGGGGAGCGAACGGGAUUAGAUACCCCGGUAGUCCACGCCGUAAACGAUGGUCACUAGGUGUGUGUGGUAUCGACCCCACACGUGCCGCAGCUAACGCAAUAAGUGACCCGCCUGGGGAGUACGGCCGCAAGGUUG
rnacentral:rRNA from 1 species